rnacentral:misc_RNA from 1 species
GAUGAAGAACGUAGCGAAAUGCGAUAAGUAAUGCGAAUUGCAGAAUUCAGUGAAUCAUCGAAUCUUUGAACGCACAUUGCGCCCGCUAGUAUUCUGGCGGGCAUGCCUGUCUGAGCGUUAUUUCAACCCUCGCCCCCGGCUUUUGCUGGGAGCGGUGUUGGGGAUCGGCCGCCCGUCACUGGGAGGCCGGCCCCGAAAUAGAGUGGCGACCACGCCGUGUGCUCCUCUGCGUAGUAGUAAAUCACCUCGCAGGCGGACAGCGGUGCGGCCUGCCGUAAAACCCCCAACUCUUUCUGGUUGACCUCAGAUCAGGUAGGAAUACCCGCUGAACUUAAGCAUAUCAAUAAGCGGAGGA